GGUUGUCGUCAGCUCGUGUCGUGAGAUGUUGGUUAAGUCCCGCAACGAGCGCAACCCUUAUUGCUAGUUACCAUCAUUGAGUUGGGGACUCUAGCGAGACUGCCAGCGAUAAGCUGGAGGAAGGUGGGGAUGACGUCAAAUCAUCAUGCCCCUUAUGACCUGGGCUACAAACGUGAUACAAUGGCUGGAACAAAGGGAGGCGAAGGGGUGACCUGGAGCGAAACCCAAAAAUACAGUCUCAGUUCGGAUUGAAGUCUGCAACUCGACUUCAUGAAGUCGGAAUCGCUAGUAAUCGCGGAUCAGAACGCCGCGGUGAAUACGUUCUCGGGGUUU
rnacentral:rRNA from 1 species